GCCUCGUAUUUUCUUAGCAGCCCUAUUCUUGGGCAGAGGAAAUAAUCCCAUUAACUUUAUUAUCUCUUCGAGGAAGGACAAGGGUAUAGGUUUGCCCUUAAGUUCAAGGACCGCCUUCUCUCUUGAAAGGAAAACCAGAGUUGGGGCAACUCGCUUGAUGGGAAAUUUGCUCUAAACAAGGCCUGCCCCCAGCAGAGUUUUAUUCUCAGGGUGGAAGAGAGAACCCAGCCGCAUCCUGAAUGGUGGCCCUCAGCCACUCCGGCCUCCAUGUCUCCUCUCCAGGCCUCAGUUUCCUCAAGUCUGAACCGACACAGAGCAACAGGCAGUGUCCCCUGGAAUGCGCCCCAGGCCCUGGUGUAGGUUCUGUAAAUCCUACUUCAGGAACACUCCAGGGACUUGCUCCGGACCCCAGUUCCAAGUCCUGGAGAGGCCUGAGUGCAGGUAACAUGG
rnacentral:lncRNA from 1 species